AGAAGCAUGGGUAGUUAGUUUCUAAACAACUUAAAUACAAUAGCAGAAUAAGGCGUUUAAAGAUGAAGCUUGUGGUUUUCAUAUCGUUCUUGCUCAUGCUUUCAUUGUGCUCUUCAGGAUUUGGGGAGGGUCGCGAAAUUGCUGAUAACGACCUCUUUUCCUCGAACAAGGUUGAAGAGCUGUAUAGUGAUCGAAUGAUGGAUUAUCCUCCAACGGGCCCAAACCCAGGACACGACCCGACAGUUCCUCCGCCUCCACAUUCCGACGAAGAAAACAUGAUGGAAAAUUAUGUUAACUGAAUAUUGAAAUCCAUCCCAUCUUUGUAAAACAUAUAAUUAAAUAAAUUGCAUUCGUGAGCUCUUA